UAGGGAAUCUUCCACAAUGGACGCAAGUCUGAUGGAGCAACGCCGCGUGAGUGAAGAAGGUCUUCGGAUCGUAAAACUCUGUUGUUAGAGAAGAACACGAGUGAGAGUAACUGUUCAUACGUUGACGGUAUUUAACCAGAAAGUCACGGCUAACUACGUGCCAGCAGCCGCGGUAAUACGUAGGUGGCAAGCGUUAUCCGGAUUUAUUGGGCGUAAAGAGAGUGCAGGCGGUUUUCUAAGUCUGAUGUGAAAGCCUUCGGCUUAACCGGAGAAGUGCAUCGGAAACUGGAUAACUUGAGUGCAGAAGAGGGUAGUGGAACUCCAUGUGUAGCGGUGGAAUGCGUAGAUAUAUGGAAGAACACCAGUGGCGAAGGCGGCUACCUGGUCUGCAACUGACGCUGAGACUCGAAAGCAUGGGUAGCGAACAGGAUUAGAUACCCUGGUAGUCCAUGCCGUAAACGAUGAGUGCUAGGUGUUGGAGGGUUUCCGCCCUUCAGUGCCGGAGCUAACGCAUUAAGCACUCCGCCUGGGGAGUACGACCGCAAGGUUG
rnacentral:rRNA from 1 species